UACGUAGGGCGCAAGCGUUGUCCGGAAUUAUUGGGCGUAAAGAGCUCGUAGGUGGCUUGUCGCGUCGGGUGUGAAAGCUUGGGGCUUAACUCCAGGUCUGCAUUCGAUACGGGCUGGCUAGAGGUAGGUAGGGGAGAACGGAAUUCCUGGUGUAGCGGUGAAAUGCGCAGAUAUCAGGAGGAACACCGGUGGCGAAGGCGGAUCUCUGGGCCUUACCUGACGCUCAGGUGCGAAAGCUAGGGGAGCGAACAGG
rnacentral:rRNA from 1 species